UACGUAGGGUGCAAGCGUUGUCCGGAUUUAUUGGGCGUAAAGAGCGUGUAGGCGGCUAGGUAGGUCCGUUGUGAAAACUCGAGGCUCAACCUCGAGACGUCGAUGGAAACCAUCUGGCUAGAGUCCGGAAGAGGAGAGUGGAAUUCCUGGUGUAGCGGUGAAAUGCGCAGAUAUCAGGAGGAACACCCGUGGCGAAAGCGGCUCUCUGGGACGGUACUGACGCUGAGACGCGAAAGCGUGGGGAGCAAACAGG
rnacentral:rRNA from 1 species